rnacentral:ncRNA from 2 species
CGACGCCGUGCGGGAGAGCCCCGGUACGGCCGCGGAAUCCGGGCACACGCCCAGAGCGCCGCAGCCGAAGCCGGGCGCCGAAGGAGCAGCACCUCCCCGUCAAUCUCUCAGGCACCCGGACCGCACGGGCACC